GCUGUAGCUUAGUGGUAGGGAUUCUGUUUCAUAUGCAGAAGGUCCCAGGUUCAAUCCCCAGCAUCUACA